AUGGCUCCAUCUCCCCCUAGGGCGUACCCUAAAAUUUAGCGGAUCGUCUGCCUAACUCUCACCGAGACUCAUUCAAAAUCUUCCAAUCAAUAACAUUAACAAGUAUUAAAACACAACAAUUAAACAUUACAAACCAUCUAACAUUCCGAAUCAUCCAUACUUAUAUGUACAACUAAACGGAUCAAAAUACAAGUUGUUCAAUCAAUUCACUAAGUACAACUAGGAUGGCAAUUUACUUAAAACAAAGACUUCAACUCUCUAUUCUCCGGCUCCAUGUUUCCAACCCCUAUUAAGGAAAAUAAUUAAAGGGGUGAAUUUUUGCCCAGUGAGCUUCUAAAAAAAUAGACAACCUUAAGCAUAGCAUUUCGUACUUUCAGUAAUAUAAUAGGAAUACCAAACCAAUUAAUAACAAGAUAAUUCAUGAAACAAUUCUUAACAAAUAGCACAAUCAUUAUCAAAGGAUAUGGUACUGAUACGGACUCUAGAGAUGGCUCCCGUCCGUUUCUAAACGUAACACUUAGUUCCAUUUAGUAAUUCAUUGCACAACUCCCUGCAAUCACUUCUCCACCAAACUCUUCCUUAUAUCCUCCAAAAUAGUAAACAAUCCCCUUCAAUCAUUAAUCAUUUCGUCACUCCAAUAGGCGCCUCAUUAAGGGGGUAAUACUCAAGUAUAUCAAUAAACAGUGCCCAAGGCCUAUCAACCUACUUGACCGAGCCCGUUGUUGGUUGGAAUAGGUCAACCGUCGAUGGGGUUUGGGCCCAGUUCAACUGAUAUGAUAAAGUACACAUUUGACUUACAUUAAUUCAUGCACAAUUCCAGUAUUCACUUAGGUAGAGUGCAAUAAAGUAUGCGCUCGCCUUUCAGUAAAACAGUAGCAAUUGUCAAUUUUCACUCUAAACAAUUCAAACGUCAAUAAUCCAACAAGUAUCAAUCAACUAGGCACAUAACAUUUAUCAUUCAUCAAAUAUUCAAUCAUUACAAACAAAUAUAGAACAUUCAUUCAAAUCAAGUGGAUUACACCUCAGUCUCGGGGGUUGCUUUCACACCCAUUAGUAGUUCCUGAGACAAAUUACAAGUACUAUAGUUAUGGUAUAACUUUAGGAAUAAUUACUAAAUGCAGUUACUUCCAUCCCCGAACCCAAUUCUAAGUUGAUUAUACCAAGUUUAAUCAUUAAAAGAUCCCCAAACUAUAUAUGUAACGUUCACUUUAGUAUAAUUUUAGUUAAGCUCAAGCACAAUAAUAUUGUAUAAAAUCUACCCAACAAUUCAAGUUAAAACCAAAAAUUAAUUAAGAUUAAGAUUUAGUCUUAAAGGUGGAAUAAUUGUCCAGGUUCACUUCUUCCGUUCCCCCUGUACAAAGCCUUAACUUUUGUGUUUAAAUCAAUUGAAAGCUCUAAUGCAACUCUAUGGCCAGUAUGCUAGGGUUUGAAAAUGCCAAAUAUACAACAUACAUGGCUAGAUUAGGACAACAGAUGAUGCAUAAAGUAAGUUUUAACCAAGUUCAACAAAACUCUUGGCAAGAAAACUAAAAAUUUCCAGGUUUAGUGUUUCCUCCAAAAAUCAGUCUUUUCUAGCCUUUAACUCAACAAAUACUACAUGCAUGUCUAGAUAAAAGAAGUAAAUGGUACAUGAAGUGAGUUCUUGACCAAAACCAACAAAAUUUUUGGAGUUAAAGUUGCAAACUCUCGGCUCUAUUCCAAUGGCCCUCAAGUAUCUAUCAUAGUUGGAAAUUUCAGUAAGGUUCUCUCAACGCCACCACUUAUCUCACUUUGGAUUCAAGCCAAGUACUACAUGCAUGUCAAUAUUAAUGUAUUAUAAGGUGUAUUGACGGGUAUUUUACAUACGUGCAAGCUAAAAAAUACCGAAUUACACCCGUUCACUGCAAGUAUACAGAUCAACUAGUAGUUUAGGGUAUAUAUCGGGUCGAUCCCACAAGGAAGAGUGA
rnacentral:lncRNA from 1 species